UACGAAGGGGGCUAGCGUUGUUCGGAAUUACUGGGCGUAAAGCGCGCGCAGGCGGUUCUUCAAGUCAGAGGUGAAAGCCCAGGGCUCAACCCUGGAAUGGCCUUUGAGACUAGAGGACUAGGGUACGGGAGAGGUGAGUGGAAUUCCGAGUGUAGAGGUGAAAUUCGUAGAUAUUCGGAAGAACACCAGUGGCGAAGGCGGCUCACUGGCCCGUUACCGACGCUCAGGCGCGACAGCGUGGGGAGCAAACAGG
rnacentral:ncRNA from 2 species